rnacentral:lncRNA from 1 species
GGCCUUAUUAAGUUUUUUUUUAUUUUGUGAGGGGGGCCAGAGUCUCACACUGUCACCCAGGCUGGAGUGCAGUGGCGCAAUCUUGGCUCACUGCAACCUCCACCUCCUGUGUCAAGAUACUCUCCUGCCUCAGCCCCGCUAGUAGCUGGGACUACAGGUACGCAUCACCAUGCCUGGCUAAUUUUUUGUGUGUUUAGUAAAGAUGGGGUUUCAGCAUGUUAGCCAGUAUGGUCGUGAUCUCCUGACCUCCUGAUUCACCUGCCUCGGCCUCCCAAAGUGCUGGAAUUACAGGCAUGAGUUAGCACGCCUGGUCUAUUAAGACUUUUAAAUCACCCAACAAUUUAUGUUACGUCUCAGCCUCCCCCCAGCUUAAUGUAAUUCAGUAUAAAAUAAUACAUAAUCAUCAAAUAAGUUUAGGACAGUCCAACACGGUCUUAUCAGUUCUCAUUAUAACUAACACUAUGCAUUUUAUUGUAAAAAAUCUUUCCAAAAAUGAUUUUUUUUUUUUUUUUUUUUUUUUUUUUUUUUUGAGAUGGAGUUUCGCUCGUUACCCAGGCUGGAGUGCAAUGGCGCGAUCUCGGCUCACUGCAACCUCCGCCUCCUGGGUUCAGGCAAUUCUCCUGCCUCAGCCGCCUGAGCUGGGAUUACAGGCACGCGCCACCAUGCCCAGCUCUACUAAACUGAUUAGUAGAGACGGGGUUUCACCAUGUUGACCAGGAUGGUCUUGAUCUCUUGACUUCGUGAUCCACCCGCCUCGGCCUCCCAAAGUGCUGGGAUUACAGCCUUGAGCCACUGCACCCGGCCUGAUUAUUUCUCUUUGUUGCCCCAAAUAGACAGCCUGCUUAACCAAAGAGUAGAACCUCAAUGAAAGGAAUAUUUCUAAUAACCCAAUCGCUUCUUUCUUAGAAAGAUAAUUUUGAUGUAUUCUAUAAAACAAAUUAUGCAGGAGGUUAUUAACUAUCUCUAUAUAUUUCACAUAGAUUUGGCACAAGUCUUCCACAGGACCAUUUCUUUGUUC